rnacentral:rRNA from 1 species
UGGGGAAUAUUGCACAAUGGGCGCAAGCCUGAUGCAGCCAUGCCGCGUGUAUGAAGAAGGCCUUCGGGUUGUAAAGUACUUUCAGUCGGGAGGAAGGUGGUAAGGUUAAUAACCUUGGCAAUUGACGUUACCGACAGAAGAAGCACCGGCUAACUCCGUGCCAGCAGCCGCGGUAAUACGGAGGGUGCAAGCGUUAAUCGGAAUUACUGGGCGUAAAGCGCACGCAGGCGGUUGAUUGAGACAGAUGUGAAAUCCCCGGGCUUAACCCGGGAAUUGCAUCUGAUACUGGUCAGCUAGAGUCUUGUAGAGGGGGGUAGAAUUCCAUGUGUAGCGGUGAAAUGCGUAGAGAUGUGGAGGAAUACCGGUGGCGAAGGCGGCCCCCUGGACAAAGACUGACGCUCAGGUGCGAAAGCGUGGGGAGCAAACAGG